UACAGAGGGUGCAAGCGUUAAUCGGAAUUACUGGGCGUAAAGCGUGCGUAGACGGUUAUUUAAGUCAGGUGUGAAAGCCCCGGGCUCAACCUGGGAAUUGCAUUUGAGACUGAAUAGCUAGGGUGCGGAAGAGGGAAGCGGAAUUUCCGGUGUAGCGGUGAAAUGCGUAGAUAUCGGAAGGAACACCAGUGGCGAAAGCGGCUUCCUGGUCCAGCACCGACGUCAGGCACGAAAGCGUGGGGAGCGAACAGG
rnacentral:rRNA from 1 species